AUAGAAAUAAAUUAUAUAAAAAUUAUUGAAAAUAUUAAUUAAUUUUUUUUUCUUUUUGUAUUAAGAUUUUAAUUAAUAAAAAAAUAUAUUUAUUAAAUUUUUUAAAUAUUAAAAAUUAUAUUAAUAAAAAAAUUAUUAUAAAAUAAUUAUUUUAAAUUUUAAUAUAGUUUAGAAAAUAAAUUCAUUUAAUAUUAAAUAAUUUUAUAUUAAAUUAAUUUAAUUAAAAAUUUAUUUAUUGAAAAUAAAUUUAAUAAUUAUAAAGAUAAGUUUAUAAUUUAAAUUAUAAUUUUAAUUAAAUUAAAUAUAUUUAAUAAAAUUAGUAAUUUUAAUUUUAAAUAUUUUAUAAUUUUAUAUAUAAUUUAAAUAUCUAAAUUUUAUUAUUUAAUAUAAUAUAUAUAAAAAAACAAAUUAAAUAUUUUUAAAAUUAAUGUAAAAAUAAGUAAUAAAAAUUUUUAAAUUAAAUGAAUUAGACAAAAAUUUUUUAAUUGUUUAUUAAAAACAUUGUUUAAAGAUUAUAAUUUUAAAUAUGUUCUGCUCAAUGAUUAAAAUUAAAUAGCUGCAAUAUUUUAAUUGUACAAAGGUAGCAUAAUAAUUUGUAUUUUAAUUGAAUAAUAGAAUGAAGGAAUUAAUAAAAAAAUUAUUUUAUUUAAUUAAUUAAAUGAAAUUAAUAUUUUAGUUAAAAAGCUAAAUUAAAUUAAAAAGACAAAAAGACCUUAAAAAUUUUAUAUAAAUAAUUAUAUUUAUUUGGGGUAAAUUUAAUAGAUUAAUUUAUUAAAAUUUAAUUAAAAAAAUAAUAAAAAAUUACUUUAGGGAUAACAGGAUAAUUAAAUUUUAUAGAAUAAAUUAAAAAUUUAGAUUGUUACCUCGAUGUUGAAUUAAUUAAACUAAUUGAAAUAAAGAUUAAUUUAGUAAGUUUGUUCAACUUUUAAUAAAUUACAUGAUUUGAGUUAAGAUCGAUGUAAAUUAGAUUGGUUUUUAUCUUUUAAUUUGAUUAUAGAUUUAGUACGAAAGGAUUAAUUUAUUUUUUAAUAUUU
rnacentral:rRNA from 1 species